rnacentral:lncRNA from 1 species
ACAGUGAAAUGAUAUUUGGAAUUGCAUUUCACGAAAAGAAAUAUUGAACCUGGGCCUGGUGGCACAGGUGUGUAAUCCCAUUCCCUUGGGAACCCAAGGCUAGAGGGUUACAAGUUCAAGGUCUGUCUCAGCUACAGAGUGAGUUAAAGGCAAGCCUGGGCAACUUAAAAGAAGCCUUCUAUCUAUCUAUCUAUCUAUCUAUCUAUCUAUCUAUCUAUCUAUCUACACUUGUUUUCAGUAACAAAUCAGUCAGAGAGAAAAAAACAAAACAAAACAAAACAAAACAAGACAACAUGGCACUGAACAGCCCAACAUGGUCUAGAAGAAUUUUUUUCUAGCUCCAGUCAUGAUGACAGAAUAAAGAUAAAGUGUCUUUGGUGUAUUUCCCCAAUACAGAGUCUCGUUAUUAGAUACUUCAAGGUACCACAGUAAAGUGUGUCUCCAAGAAACCUGUGGAAAUAGUGUAAGAACUAAACCUCACUCUCCUCUCAAACUCAACACUAUAUUUUGUUUACUCUGUUUUCCAAAUCUCCCACAAGAACAGAAAAGUUGUAUUUUUUCAUAGCUUGGGCAUGUCUUGUAAUAGAGCGUCAUGUGUGUGAGGCCGCCGACUUCAGACAUAGAAUCAAUAUGUACAGAUGGAGUCAACAGUUUCAAAGUCACCCCCAUAGAGCUGAUGAGAAGACAAUCAUUGGAGCCAUACAUAUCUUUGUUUUCUCACUUUCAGAAUUUCUUCUCUUUGAAGUCUUUCUUUUGGGUUGGAGUUUACUAUAAUGAAACUCGCAGACAGUGGCUGUGGGAAGACCAUUCGGUUCUACCCUCUGGGCUGUAAGUAGUCAUGUGGCCUCAGGUGUUUAGAAAGCAGUCCUCAGGCAGAUGAAAAUUAUCUUCACACUCUGUCUGCUGCAGGCAGGACAAGGAAAAUUGAUGGACAGAGACCCUGAGAUACCACUCUGGGGGUGGGGAAGUACAGUUUGUGGUGCAGGACAGCUGGCCUCUUGGGACUGCAAGGAAGCAGGGCUCAUAUGGUUCUCAGGCUAUUGGACACGCGGGUGCCAUAGAGAGCUGUGGAGGAGCUGAGAACAGAGUGGAGCCCCACGGGCUCGAACCAGCCCAGGGCCAGGGGAGAAGGGGGGAGCUCUGGCUGGUCCUGCCUGGAAAGUCCUUGGCCCGACAAUGGCGGUGGGCUUGGGCUUGGCUUGAGCAUGGUGGUCGCAGUGGUUGGGAGUGCAGACAGGACUUUUACAGGAGAUUAGAUAGUGGCUCUGUAGGCAACGGCUUUCUCCAAUGGCACUGACACUCUCUUUCCUGAUUUGGAUUAACCAACUAUCAGUUUAAACAGUUUCUUUCUCCUCCCACCUCCCUACCCCAACCCCUACCUACUCAGGAAAUGAUGGCUUUAACUAGCAACUCUUUUAUUUGGCUGAUGAUAAGUUAGAACACCUUUAUUUAGCAUAAAUUCCUUUAAUUCUAGGGUUCAGGAGCAACCUCCUUAGUUCAGUGUUCUGUCCCCUGUUCUGUCAAAUCAAUGGCUGCAUUAUAAAAGAUCUAACGUCGCCUGUAAUAUGUCAUUACUAUCCUCCUGGUCUUUAAUAUUGCACUUACCAUGAGACCAAAUAACUGUGGUGUGUAAAUGCAUAUUUAGGCGAGUAAGUCACAAUUUGUUUUGCUCUAUUUUAUUUUUUAGUGUUUUACUGUGGUGUCAUGGACCUAAUGGCCUUGAUCUUGUUAAUAUCAUACUCCUCUGCUGAGCUACACCUCUCAGCCCUACUCACAGUCUUUCUUUCUUUCUUUCCCUCUUCCUUCCUUCCUUCCUUCCUUCCUUCCUUCCUUCCUUCCUUCCUUCCUUCCUUCCUUCCUUCCUGUCUGUUUGUCUUUCUUUCUCUCUUUCUUUCCUUUUGAAUUUGUCUUUUUCUACCCUAACAACCAAUUGACAUCCUUUGCCCUUAGACUCUUCCUUAGUUGAAAUAUUAAUUGACAUUUACAAUUACACACUGACUUGAUAACUUUGUGGUUUGCUACCAUAUUACUGAUAAGAAUUACGGGUUAUGGAAAUCCAAUGGAUUGGAUUUUUGACAUUUAUAUGUAGGGCAACAGUAUUGUAUUUUCUUAGGUGUUUGAAUGCGAUAUAAUUUUGCAAUAACUGGAAUUUCUUUCAUUUUAGGUUUUCUAAACUUGAAGCUAAUAUGAAAAACUUCUGUGCAUCUUAUAAAUCAAAAGAAGCUUAUAUGGAAGAAAACUGUGCGAACAAACUGACAUAUAUUUGCAAGAAGUAGCAUAUUUAAUUCUAUGAGUUCAUGAAAUAUAUGAAAAUUAAUCUUUUUUAACAUUUUUUCCUGGAGUGCUUAUUUUAUGAAGAAAAUGUGACAAAUAUUUGCCUUUGCUUAAAUAAAACUGUAUUCAAAU